rnacentral:tRNA from 1 species
UGCAAUUUGGUGUAAAGGCACGUGAAGUUUUGAUCUUUAAAGAAUUGGUGUAAUUCCAUUAUUUGCAU